GGCCGCCUGGCGAAAUGGCAUCGCGUCUGACUACGAUUUCGUACCGUUAUCAGGAGAUCGCAGGUUCGACCCCUGCGGUGGUCA